UCUCGAGUCUCCAGCGGCGGCAGGAGGGGGCGCCCCGCCCAGGGCACGGAGGGCUCGGCUGGUGGCUCGACAAGGUGCAGGGCCCAAAUGGCCCUGGGAUCUUCGCGGCAGCCCCACUCCGGCGCCGGCCGAACUUGCCUCCGCGCCCGGGCACCGACCCUCUUCCCCAGGCCCUCCUUACCUGGUGGUCAUGGCCCUAAGCGAGGUCUGCGGCGGUGACGCCCGCGAGUCCAACCGGGACUAGUGUGGGUGCUACAGUUUUUCAGAAAUGGGUCUCCUACUGCUUGAGAAGGGGCGUGGUGGUCUCUCCAGCCCAGCACAGAGAAGAGAGGCAACGGAGCUUCCUGCCUCCCUGCGUGGAACCCUGCGUGGAAAGAAGCUUCUCGAACUCCACACAUGGCAGACAAGGACUUUCCUCCUCUCUCACCAAGGGCCUUGGCCCAGCCAAGUCUCACUUCCCCCACCAAAGAAAGCCAAUCUUUCUUCUAACAUGUGUCUUCUCCAUUACUCACAGAUUGCUCCACGUCAGGAGGCACAUAUGUCAGUCUAUUCCAUUUCUGGGGGUGCUAUCCUGGAUUACUGAAAUGAGCUGGUGUCUGUAAGGACACAUAGAAGGCACCAUCCAUGAGGAACAGCCCUCACCAGAUACCAAACCUGCCAGUGUCUUGAUCUUGAACUUCCCAACCUCCAGU